AAAAUAAAUAAAUAAAUAAGUAAAUACGCACGCAAUAACUCAAAAAGGUAAAAUUACUGAUGGGUUAAAACCUGAAAGGGCUUUCACAUGCAUGGAGAUAAGAUCAACUUUCCAGUUCUCAACACGUGUCCGUUCCUUGCACGGUGUGCAUCUGCCUAUCCUGCGCCUAGCAUAAACUUCCACCGUCACCCAUCUCUCCCCCCCUCUCUCACAGAUUUUUUUUUUUUUUUUUUUC
rnacentral:misc_RNA from 1 species